rnacentral:rRNA from 1 species
GACGAACGCUGGCGGCGUGCUUAACACAUGCAAGUCGAACGGAAAGGCCCUGCUUUUGUGGGGUGCUCGAGUGGCGAACGGGUGGGUAACAAGUGAGUAACCUGCCCUUGACUUUGGGAUAACUUCAGGAAACUGGGGCUAAUACCGGAUAGGAGCUCCUGCUGCAUGGUGGGGGUUGGAAAGUUUCGGCGGUUGGGGAUGGACUCGCGGCUUAUCAGCUUGUUGGUGGGGUAGUGGCUUACCAAGGCUUUGACGGGUAGCCGGCCUGAGAGGGUGACCGGCCACAUUGGGACUGAGAUACGGCCCAGACUCCUACGGGAGGCAGCAGUGGGGAAUAUUGCACAAUGGGCGGAAGCCUGAUGCAGCAACGCCGCGUGCGGGAUGACGGCCUUCGGGUUGUAAACCGCUUUCGCCUGUGACGAAGCGUGAGUGACGGUAAUGGGUAAAGAAGCACCGGCUAACUACGUG